rnacentral:rRNA from 1 species
AUUGAACGCUGGCAGCAGGCUUAACACAUGCAAGUCGAGCGGGGUGAUGGUGCUUGCACUAUCACUUAGCGGCGGACGGGUGAGUAAUGCUUAGGAAUCUGCCUAUUAGUGGGGGACAACAUCUCGAAAGGGAUGCUAAUACCGCAUACGUCCUACGGGAGAAAGCAGGGGAUCACUUGUGACCUUGCGCUAAUAGAUGAGCCUAAGUCGGAUUAGCUAGUUGGUGGGGUAAAGGCCUACCAAGGCGACGAUCUGUAGCGGGUCUGAGAGGAUGAUCCGCCACACUGGUACUGAGACACGGCCCAGACUCCUACGGGAGGCAGCAGUGGGGACUAUUGGACAAUGGGGGGAACCCUGAUCCAGCCAUGCUGCGUGUGUGAAGAAGGCCUUAUGGUUGUAAAGCACUUUAAGCGAGGAGGAGGCUCUUUUGGUUAAUACCCAAGAUGAGUGGACGUUACUCGCAGAAUAAGCACCGGCUAACUCUGUGCCAGCCGCCGCGGUAA